rnacentral:lncRNA from 1 species
GCAUUAAUUUAUUGAAUUAAAGACACUUUGCAAGCCAGAGUCUCACGUGUUUAUAGGCAAAACACACAUGGGAAAAAACUGCACGUGAAAAUACGUCCCUGAGUCUAAUGAACAAUAAAAGUGCGUCGGGAAAUACCAGAGGAACUCAAUGAGGUGUUCACGUGACUUCUUUGUUUACAUAGCAACGUGAUAAGACAUCUUGGUGCGAACGAAGAAUUUCUUGGCCCUCAAUUAUGUAAUUGUACACACAAAAUAUCGAGAAUAGACGUGGAGAAAAAUGCCAUGUGAUCAAAGUUAGCAAUGAAUAAUUUUAUAAAUGUUACUCAUAAUUCUAAAAAUAACUAAAUCAUGAUCUAGAAUAAGUGCCGAGUUUAUAUAUAUAUAUUUAUUUCUACUGCAAUGGAUAUAAAAAGUUCUGCAAGUUUCAUCUUCGGUUCCAGAGGCAUCAGAAUACCAUUAUCGCUACCGAAAAGGAAAACAGAUACGCAAGUGCCCUUCUUCCGACAGAACGUGUCUCCAUGUGAAUUCUUUUUCUACUCUUUCCAAGAUGCCUUAAUAAAACGUCAGGGUACAUUUUCAUUCCACUUGUUUUUUUACAAUUAUUCAGUCUUAUAUUCUUGUGUUCGUUAGGUAUUUCAUCAAUACAACUGAAAACUCCAGAUUAUCUUAAAGUUAAAACGCCACAAAGUAAAUCAAAACAACGGACACUGAACAAAAAUUGAUUCUUAUUAUUAUUUUUCAUAUUUUCAGAAAUACAACCAAUUUAAAGCAUUUACCUUUUUUUAACAUAAGAAACAAAUGGUAUAUUAAUCGAGUAAAUAUGCUCCGUUAUAGUGAAAGCCCCACAAGAUUAGAUUCAGAUUCAAACUAAGAACGAUGUUCUAAGAAGAGAGAUUUCGCAAUUAACCGGUCUCCGGGCGAAAAAUGUGGCACUAAUUGGCAGAGGUGAAAUGGGAUUGC